CUCAGCACCAACACAUAUGAGCAUGCACACAGGCGCCCCGUGCGCACACCUGCCUCCUCUGGGAGCUGCGCCUCCAGCCACGCCAGCCACCGGGGUCCCUGGGAGCCACCUGCGGGGUCUGAGUACCCUCUGUCCUGGCACAGAUGUCUGGUCCUGAGAAGCCACGUGACCCGGCUGGACCCUGAAGAACCUUCUCUGGGAAUUGGAAGUUCUGACUCUGUCUGUUCUCUAGAAAGCAUGAGCUGUGACCUAAGGGGGUGUGGGUGACCCCCUUGGCGUCCAGGUGUCCUGGAAAUCAAGAAAGAGGACCUAGAACAGAAGACAGUGGGUUGGCAGACUCAGCGGGGGCCAGGGUGGGGGGUCCCCACUGCACGCCAGCCCAAGCUUUUCUCUUACUCUGAAUUCUGAAGGACACACAAACAGCCUUUUAUAAAUUCUUCUAUGGUUUUAAGCCAAGUCCAAUUAGAUUUCUCUCACCUCCAUCCACUGGAAUCCUCGCUGAAACCAUGCACGAAAAAAAAAAUUCACCGGAAUAUUCAUAGUGUGAGUGUGCAGAGACCCGACGCACGCCGAUUCAGAGGUAAGAGUGCCAUCUACUGAAUGUGAGACCUCAUUUCCGGCAGCCCGGCAGCCAGUCCUCCGAGACCUCCCACCUGGGAACCGGCUGGGCGCACAGAACCGAGACAGCAGGAGGGUCCGUGGCCAAGGUGUUUGUAGCAUUGAGUUAGUAGAACGAGAAAAUUGGACCAACAUGGGACACAUAGUAUCUUGGGAAACAGCUAGAAAUCCCUGGUGGAAAAUGCAUGAGGAGUUUCUCCCCUGAAGAGAGGGUGCAGAGGGGCCCGCCUGCUGGGCUCAGAUGCAGGCGCAGAGGCCCCCGGGGUUCACGGUUUGGUUGUUCCCUUCUCUGGUGAACCUCCGGGAGACUGAUGCUAGCUCAUGCCUCUCACAUGGAUGAACCACACUUCAGUGGCGAGCUGGCCUUUGGAGCUCAGAGGAACACUGAUGGAGGUGGCUGGGGUGUCUGCAGCUCAGGUCUGCUAUCAUGGGGGUCCUGGGGUCCAGAAUGGGACCACCCUGAGAUACAGCCAUCAGACAACUUGUGGGCACCUCUAAAUUCCAGAGAAGGCUCAUUCGUUCAUUCACUCAGCAUGCCAUUGGUGAGUGUCCAGUAAGUUGCUGGGGACAGCAGAGACCCAGCAGAGCUGACACUCCAGCUGAGACACAGGUAUUUUAGGACCGAUAGAAAACAGUUAUUGAAUCACUAGUACGAUAACUUUAGGCUCCCCACUCCAGUGUUGUUGGGCUUCCCUUGUGGCUCAGCUGGUAAAGAAUCCUCCCGCAAUGCGGGAGACCUGGGUUCGAUUCCUGGGUUGGGAAGAUCCCCUGGAGAAGGGAAAGUCU